rnacentral:rRNA from 1 species
AUUGAACGCUGGCGGCAGGCCUAACACAUGCAAGUCGAGCGGAGCGGCGGACGGGUGAGUAAGGCCUAGGAAUCGGCCUGGUAGCGGGGGAGAACGUCCGGAAACGGGCGCUAAUACCGCAUACUAUCAGAUGAGCCUCGGUCGGAUUAGCUAGUUGGUGGGGUAGGGGCCUCCCUAGGCGACGAUCCGUAACUGGUCUGAGAGGAUGAUCAGGCACACUGGAACUGAGACACGGUCCAGACUCCUACGUGAGGCGGCAGUGGGGAAUAGUGGACAAUGGGCGCAAGCCUGAUCCAGCCAUGCCGCGUGUGUGAAGAAGGUCUUCGGAUUGUAAAGCACUUUAAGUUGGGAGGCGUUACCAACAGAAUAAGCACCGGCUAACUUCGUGCCAGCAGCCGCGGUAAUUC